GAGAUAUAUGAUGAUUGAACUUUUCUGGUUCCCUAUUGGUUUGAUUAGCCGAGAUGAUGAUGGCAUCUAACGUAUUAGCUCUAUCUGAUCUC
rnacentral:snoRNA from 1 species